AACUUCCAGAAGCAAAUUAUCAUUUUAAUUCUCUUGCUUCCCUAUUUUCUUGUCAAGGUUAAAAGAAUGGAGUGUACUGGAGUCAGGAAAGCUCAGUGUCUGUUGGAGGUGAAGUCACCAGCAUUGCAUUUCUCCACCAGUCACAACUGAUAAGUUCAAAACCACAUCAGGGAGGUAACUACUAAGAAUAGAAAGUACUAUCUCUGCCAUGAUAAAUCACCCCCAGGAAAACCAGCUUAUCCCAGCUCAGGGUGGCCACAAAACCAACAUUCCAGCAGGUUUCCAGAGGUGCAAGCCACAGAGACCUGGUACACUCUGCUGAUUCAGUGCAAGUGGAGGCUAAUCCUGAGUUAAGUACACAAAGCUUUACAGAUGUUGCAGUGAGAAUUUUCUGAUUGAUUUUAAUGGUAUCCACUGUCACAUUUCUGAAACCACUGUUACCCUGCAAAUAAUCAAACCCAUGGAGUUUCUGUCUCUGUGAUAGAUUGAGACUCACAAAAUAUAUUUGUACUGCUGCUAAAAAUGCUCUUAGUGCUUACUUAUGCAUCUCAAUGAAAAGUAAGUGCUCACCCUGUAGGCAGAAGUUUUUGAGAGUGUUCAGGGCAUGGAAACUCUGCUGCCUCCCUCUUACAGGGUGGAUCUGUGCAGUGACCAACUCGUGCCCCUGCAGAGGUGGCACCGGCGUCUCAGGUCCCCUGUGCUGAAUGAGGCUCCUCCCUGCUGUCCCCAGGAGCCCCAGACUGUCCCUUCCUGGCCUUCCAGGGCUUCUCCUUCGGCAUUCUGCUUCUGCUGGAGUAACUUCCCUUCAGAAAGGGAACAUGGAACAGCCUUUUGGUCUGUGACUUUCUCUGUCAUAAGAGGCAUCUUGCUUCCCUUAAGCAUGCGAUGGGAUUUGACAUCAGUGCUGUUUCUCCAUGCUGAUACUGUGAUUAAACUCCCAAAUUUGAGCAGGUACUUGAACAUGCCAAGCAAAUCCUUCCCCUUUUCUAGUCUUCCCCAACCAAAGGCCACUUUCAUGCCCACUUCCCUGCAACACCUUUCGUAUGCUGAGGAAGAAAGAACCCUGGAGAGAAGACAUGGGAACCUGUGGUAAUGUGCAUUUUCUGGGACCGCUCGCUUUGGUGCAAAAUUAAAAGUCUGUGCUCUUUUUUUUUCUAAAAUUUCCUCUACAUGUUAGAUCUUGUCAAGGAGAUAAGGGGGUCUGUGAAUUCCUGCUUUCUUCUGUGUUUAUUCUGGCAGGAUGAGCUAUGCAAAAGCAAGCACUCUGUCUGUAGUGUGCAUACUGACAGUAUCAUUGUAGAUGGAGACUGUGCUCUCUCUCUCUCAGUGAUUAUAAUUGUGCUAAAAAAUUAUACCUGAUAAAUUAUCCUGAAAGGUUAUUGUGUAACCAUAUAUUCCAAACAGUUUUUUAAAAACAUUUUGCACUUGGCACAAACAUUUGUUCAAAGUGAGUAGGAACUGAAAGCAAACAAGCAAAGACUUUAGGGUCUUGGAGUAACUAGCAUGCCUAUCAUCUAAAAGUGACUGUCAUGUCACACAUCUGCUUUGUGAUAUGUCACUGCCUUUCUAUAACAUGCCACUUCCUAAGCACUGUGCUGAGUGACAGUCACUCACCUCACUGUCAUGCACAGUCUUGUAGUACUGAAACCUUCUCAGGCAAUGGUUAAAAUUUGAAAUUUGCUCCGUGUUUCCACAGUGAGUGGUGAAAGAGCAGGAAGAAAAGUAUUAAAGGAAAAAUGAGAAUAAACUCCCACUUACUGGUUGCUUUCUCUUACCA
ensembl:lncRNA